rnacentral:rRNA from 1 species
GGACGGGUGAGUAACGCGUGGGUGACCUGCCCUAUACCGGGGGAUAACAGCUGGAAACGGCUGCUAAUACCGCAUAAGCGCACAGAGCUGCAUGGCUCGGUGUGAAAAACUCCGGUGGUAUGGGAUGGGCCCGCGUCUGAUUAGGCAGUUGGCGGGGUAACGGCCCACCAAACCGACGAUCAGUAGCCGGCCUGAGAGGGCGACCGGCCACAUUGGGACUGAGACACGGCCCAAACUCCUACGGGAGGCAGCAGUGGGGAAUAUUGCACAAUGGGGGAAACCCUGAUGCAGCGACGCCGCGUGAGCGAAGAAGUAUUUCGGUAUGUAAAGCUCUAUCAGCAGGGAAGAUAAUGACGGUACCUGACUAAGAAGCCCCGGCUAACUACGUGCCAGCAGCCGCGGUAAUACGUAGGGGGCAAGCGUUAUCCGGAUUUACUGGGUGUAAAGGGAGCGUAGACGGCAAGGCAAGUCUGAUGUGAAAACCCAGGGCUUAACCCUGGGACUGCAUUGGAAACUGUCUGGCUCGAGUGCCGGAGAGGUAAGCGGAAUUCCUAGUGUAGCGGUGAAAUGCGUAGAUAUUAGGAAGAACA